AUGAUCCCACCCCUGCGAGUGCCUGCUAUACCCACCUUUCAGUCCACAAACUCAUUUCUCUCACUCUCUCUCUCAUCUCCAUUUUCUCUGGUUUCAUAAUCUUCGUUUGAUUUUCUUUUAAUUUAGGGUGGAUUUCUGAUAAAAUUAAUGCAUAUGAUGGUUGAUUUUCGUAUGAUUUAGGGUGGAUUGUUGAUGGUUUGGUGGGGUUAUUGAUGUCGAAUGUGCCUCUAGGGUUUGGAUUUGCUAUGAAAUAAAACCAGGAUUGUAGAAAGAUGGAUCUGAAUGAGCUUAUUGUUAUUAAGCAAGCGGUAAUGGAGGAUCUUUAAGGAAUCAAGGGAGUUUUCAUCUCGGUACCAGGCUGAUUCUUUUCUCUAUUUGGAGAACGAUGACCACGAUGCUGGCCAAAAACACACACACAAGAGACACAAAAAAUGGAUCCAUCACAGAAGAGUUCUUCGUUAUCAGUAGUGCUUACAGAAAAAGGGAUAAGGCAAGGAUGAAUUAGUUGGUUGAUGCGGCUUGUCUUUCUUUAGCUUCAAAAGUUGAAGAGAUCUAAGCCCUUUUCUGUUGGUGAAAGUGGUGGAGUCCAAGGUGAUGGUUUAGUUGCUAGCCUUGCACCACCGGAGACGGAGGGGUGGAGAAAGAAUGCUCAAGAAAAAG
rnacentral:lncRNA from 1 species